rnacentral:rRNA from 1 species
GAUGAACGCUGGCGGCGUGCCUAACACAUGCAAGUCGAACGGAGAUUACGGACGUAAGUUUUCGGAUGGAAGCCUGUAAUUCUUAGUGGCGGACGGGUGAGUAACGCGUGGGCAACCUGCCCUAUACAGGGGGAUAGCAGCUGGAAACGGCUGUUAAGACCGCAUAAGUCGGUUAAAUCGCAUGAUUUUAUCGGGAAAUGAGCAAUCAGGUAUAGGAUGGGCCCGCGUCCGAUUAGCCAGUUGGCAGGGUAAAAGCCUACCAAAGCGACGAUCGGUAGCCGGACUGAGAGGUCGGACGGGCACAUUGGGACUGAGACACGGCCCAAACUCCUACGGGAGGCAGCAGUGGGGGAUAUUGCACAAUGGAGGAAACUAUGAUGCAGCGACGCCGCGUGAGUGAAGAAGUAUUUCGGUAUGUAAAGCUCUAUCAGCAGGGAAGAUGAUGACGGUACCUGACUAAGAAGCCCCGGCUAACUACGUG